UGGCUGUCACGUAUCCCGUGAUGUGCUGCCCCACAAUUUUCCGCCCACCCCCCUGGAGAGAAUGAGCUGCGAGGCUCCGCCUGCCUGGACCAGAGGGACCCAGCUGAGACUCCUGGGAAGCAGUCACAAGGGGAGCUGCCGGGUCACAGGGCACCUAGUAUUUCACUUGAUGAAGCACGGCCACUCCGAGUCCCCAGUGCACCAGCCUAGCCUAUGCCCACCACGCCAAGGGCCCCGGUGUCCCCACAUCCCCACCAGCGCUGGGCUUUAUCCAGCUUUCCCACUGUAGCCCAUCCAUCAGGAAGAAGUGAUGUCUUGUGAUUUUCAGCACCUUUUCUCAUGUACUAAUCCUUUGCGGGUUGUGACAUGGCCAGCAUCCGCCGUCACUGUCAUCUUCAGGCACUUUGAAACCUAACCCCUCUCCCUCCUGCCAGCCGACGGCUCCUUUCUGAGUGGAUGGCACAGGUUUGCCCUCAGAGCCUUUUGGACUUCCCUUGCAACAGCUCCUAUGAGUCCAGCCGGUCCUGUGCGUCAGGCUCUAUGCUUGGCGUUUUACUUCACUUACUUCCUACAAGUCUGUGAGCCAGGAGCCUUCUCCUAGACAGCAAGCUUGUCUCCCGCAUGGGGACUCCAGCUGGUGGAAGGGCCCUCAGUGGGUGCGUGAAGCGGGCGCUGGGCCGGAAACACAGCUACACAGGCUGUGUCCCGAGGCCACCGGUCUCCCAGCUGCAAAGUCAUGGCCCCUCAGUCUCAGCUCAGUCUCAGCUGCUGUCAGUGAGUGGGACCAACACCACCCGGGAUGGUUGCCUGGGGUCUGAAAGGAAUACCAGGGUGUGAAAACUGUGUUGAGACAGAAGGCUACCCCCACAACUGCAAGGUCAUGAGGGCUGGACCAGAUGCCUUUUGAGGUGAUUUUCCACUGCAGGGCCAGGGCAGGGUCUGUGCUGAGGCCUCCUUGAUCAUCCCGCCCAUCUGGCAGGUACAAGUGUCAGAACUCCCUCAGAUGGAGUGAGGAGUGGUUGUCUAGAGGUUCUCUGGGUCCUGAAAGAGAGGUGCGAAGUGGAGGGGAAGUGCUGGAAAGAAUGUCUCCCUCUCCCACCAGACAGACCUCUUGCCUUUUUGGAGGCCGGCACUGGUAUGGGGCCUGCAGCUACAGGAAUGGCCACCAGGUGUCACCCUCAGCUCAUGCUUGAAGUGAAGGCAGCCCAGAAAGAGGAAAAGGAGCCUGCUGGAGAAAGGGAAGAGCACCCCCACUACCACAGCUCCCCCCUUCCCCGGGAGUGGGUGAACUUGGAGAGGGCCCGGCAUAGUGGGAUGGUUGUUAACUUCUGCAGGAAGGUGUUGUGCAAAGCCUCAUUCAUCUGCCUUCAGAAUUGUCCUUCGAUGCUGCCAGCAAAUCCCAAUUCAACAGAGAGUCCUAGGAUAGGAAACCCGCGCCAGGUUUCCCACUGGGUUUGGAGUGGAUGUGGCUGGUGGCCCCGCUGUCUGGCUAGAGAGGAACUCAGGGGCAGAUUUUGUUCAUUCAACACACCGGCCCUGCUUCCCAGCCCCCUGCUGGGCUCUUUCCUGACCACUUCUCAAAGACAGAUACUAAGAGGAAACAGACCAGCCAUCCGACACCUGCAGCCACCCCGCUCAAAGUAUAGACCAGUGGUCUCCAAAGAGUUUUGGGCCAUGCUCCCUAACAAUAAAAAACAUUACUGAGA